GAUGAACGCUGGCGGCGUGCCUAAUACAUGCAAGUCGAGCGAACAGAUGAGGAGCUUGCUCCUCUGACGUUAGCGGCGGACGGGUGAGUAACACGUGGAUAACCUACCUAUAAGACUGGGAUAACUUCGGGAAACCGGAGCUAAUACCGGAUAAUAUAUUGAACCGCAUGGUUCAAUAGUGAAAGACGGUUUUGCUGUCACUUAUAGAUGGAUCCGCGCCGCAUUGGCUAGUUGGUAAGGUAACGGCUUACCAAGGCAACGAUGCGUAGCCGACCUGAGAGGGUGAUCGGCCACACUGGAACUGAGACACGGUCCAGACUCCUACGGGAGGCAGCAGUAGGGAAUCUUCCGCAAUGGGCGAAAGCUUGACGGAGCAACGCCGCGUGAGUGAUGAAGGUCUUCGGAUCGUAAAACUCUGUUAUUAGGGAAGAACAAAUGUGUAAGUAACUAUGCACGUCUUGACGGUACCUAAUCAGAAAGCCACGGCUAACUACGUG
rnacentral:rRNA from 1 species